rnacentral:rRNA from 1 species
UACCCGCAGCCCGAGUGGUGAACACUUUUAUUGGGCCUAAAGCGUCCGUAGCCGGUCUGGUAAAUCCUUGGGUAAAUCGUACGGCCUAACCGUACGAAUUCUGGGGAGACUGUCAGACUUGGGACCGGGAGAGGUUAGAGGUACUCCAGGGGUGGGGGUGAAAUCCUGUAAUCCUUGGAGGACCACCGGUGGCGAAGGCGUCUAACUAGAACGGAUCCGACGGUGAGGGACGAAGCCGUGGGGCACAAACCGG